rnacentral:lncRNA from 1 species
CGAACCCAGGGACCCUGGUGCACUGUGCUGGCUUCCUGCUCAGAACCAGUCCAGGAAUGGGGUCUGGUGCUCCGAGGUAAUUGCACCUCAUGAUCACACUCAGUUCGCCUUCAGAUUUCCUGUGAGGUCCCCCUGGCUGUGCUGCAUACCCAGGCUACGGUAACUCAGCUCUGCACACAGUCUCUGGAAAGCAAAGGAACACAGCUCCCACACAAACUCGGGAAGCCAAGGAUUUCCAGGACUUGCUGACAAGCCCGUGUUUCAGCACGGAGCCCAGGAUGAGGUGCACCGCUUAACAGAUAGAAGCAACAUCGAAGUGGCUGGAUUUCCUUCCAGCUUGGAUUCUUCCAAUCAUCUGAGAUUUGCUGAGGCCUAACGCGGUCGGACUAUGUUCAUGAUUUGGAUCCAAAAGCACUAUUUAUAUUUUAAAAAUUAAAUACAUUUAAGCCUAUCAUCUCACAUUCAUUUCCCAACAAAACCACAUUCAUCUUUUUCUCUAUGUACUGUGACCAUCC